GCGCGGGUGGUGGAAUUGGUAGACACCCGAGACUUAAAAUCUCGUGCUCCGAUUGGGGCGUGCGGGUUCAAGUCCCGCCCCGCGCACCA
rnacentral:tRNA from 1 species